UACAGAGGGGGCAAGCGUUAUUCGGAUUCACUGGGCGUAAAGGGUGCGCAGGCGGCCGUGUGUGUCAGGUGUGAAAGCCCGGAGCUUAACUCCGGAAUUGCGCCUGAAACUACAUGGCUAGAGCAUUGGAGAGGGUAGCGGAAUUCACGGUGUAGCAGUGAAAUGCGUAGAUAUCGUGAGGAACACCAGAGGCGAAGGCGGCUACCUGGACAAUUGCUGACGCUCAGGCACGAAAGCGUGGGGAGCAAAAGGG
rnacentral:rRNA from 1 species